GACGAACCGUGCAAACGUUAUUCGGAAUCACUGGGCAUAAAGGGCGCGUAGGCGGCUCGAAAAGUCAGGGGUGAAAUCCGGCAGCUUAACUGUCGCAGUGCCUUUGAUACUGUCGAGCUCGAGGGAGGUAGGGGUCUGUGGAACUUCCGGUGGAGCGGUGAAAUGCGUUGAUAUCGGAAGGAACGCCGGUGGCGAAAGCGACGGACUGGAUCUCUUCUGACGCUGAGGCGCGAAAGCCAGGGGAGCAAACGGGG
rnacentral:rRNA from 1 species